ACCCUUUAAUGUUUGAUGUUCUAACGUGGACCCGUGAUCCGGGUUGCGGACAGUGUCUGGUGGGUAGUUUGACUGGGGCGGUCUCCUCCUAAAGAGUAACGGAGGAGCACGAAGGUUGGCUAAUCCUGGUCGGACAUCAGGAGGUUAGUGCAAUGGCAUAAGCCAGCUUGACUGCGAGCGUGACGGCGCGAGCAGGUGCGAAAGCAGGUCAUAGUGAUCCGGUGGUUCUGAAUGGAAGGGCCAUCGCUCAACGGAUAAAAGGUACUCCGGGGAUAACAGGCUGAUACCGCCCAAGAGUUCAUAUCGACGGCGGUGUUUGGCACCUCGAUGUCGGCUCAUCACAUCCUGGGGCUGAAGUAGGUCCCAAGGGUAUGGCUGUUCGCCAUUUAAAGUGGUACGCGAGCUGGGUUUAGAACGUCGUGAGACAGUUCGGUCCCUAUCUGCCGUGGGCGCUGGAGAACUGAGGGGGGCUGCUCCUAGUACGAGAGGACCGGAGUGGACGCAUCACUGGUGUUCGGGUUGUCAUGCCAAUGGCACUGCCCGGUAGCUAAAUGCGGAAGAGAUAAGUGCUGAAAGCAUCUAAGCACGAAACUUGCCCCGAGAUGAGUUCUCCCUGAGACUUUAGGUCUCCUGAAGGAACGUUGAAGACGACGACGUUGAUAGGCCGGGUGUGUAAGCGCAGCGAUGCGUUGAGCUAACCGGUACUAAUGAACCGUGAGGCUUAACCUU
rnacentral:rRNA from 1 species